GACCUGCGGAGGAUCAUUAUUGAAUAAACUUGGUUAGGUUGCUGCUGGUCUUUAGGGACAUGUGCACACCUAAUUCAAWUUUUAACCACCUGUGCACCUUUUGUAGACUUAGGAUAUUUCUCUGGGGAAACUCAGUAUGAGGAUUGCUGUGCGAAAGUCAGCUUUUCUUGCAUUCCUAGUCUAUGUUUUAUAUACCCCAAUAAGCAAGUCAUAGAAUGUAAUUAAUAGGCCUUUUGUGCCUUUAAAGCAAAUAUAACUUUCAACAACGGAUCUCUUGGCUCUCGCAUCGAUGAAGAACGCAGCGAAAUGCGAUAAGUAAUGUGAAUUGCAGAAUUCAGUGAAUCAUCGAAUCUUUGAACGCACCUUGCGCUCCUUGGUAUUCCGAGGAGCAUGCCUGUUUGAGUGUCAUGAAUCUCUCAACCKUUUCAGUUUUUGUUAACUGGUCUGGCUUGGAUUGUGGGGGUUGCUGGCUUUAUCAAAAGUUUGCUCUCCUUAAAUGUAUUAGCAAUACCUUUGCUGACCAUCUCUGGUGUGAUAACUAUCUACGCCAUUGGGAAAUCAGCAUAUGCUUCUAAUAGUCUGUUUGGACAAUUUUUGACAAUUUGACCUCAAAUCAGGUAGGAUUACCCGCUGAACUUAAGCAUAUC
rnacentral:rRNA from 1 species